GGGCAAAUCACAGCGUUGGAAAACACUCUCAUCACUACACCGAGAGCCUUCCAAUGGAGACUUAACAGAAUGCCAACUGCAGCAACAGAAGGAAAAACUUGGGUAGCAAGAAAGCGCGUCCAUAUUCUUCCGUUCAGUUAUAAUGAGGGGUUUGAAGGUAUCAGAUCCUGCCCGGCAUGGGCCUGACAUCCCAAGAGACAGUUCUGUGAAGAAUGUCAUUGGAAUUUUGAAGAGGAUCACAUCAAAUCCGUAGGUUAUUUUGCUUGCAAAAUAAUGACAAUUCACAAUGACAAGUCUGUUAGCUCAUCAGUAUGAAGGUGACUCCAUUGACUUUGGCCUGACCCUGACUGUGAGUGAACAGCGAUGUGGCCGAUGAGCUAAUCUGAGGGAAAACAAAAGCUGAGAGAAGACAACUGUAAGCUUGGAUGUGUUCGGGGCAUCUGGAGAGGCAGCCCAUGUAAGGCCAGGUCCAACAUUCGUGAUCCAGGAUGAAGAAGGGAAAGGAUUCAGCCAUCCACAGUGACACAGAGGUCUCAGAGAAUCGAGAGUGCUCAGAGACAUGCCAAGAGCACAUGAUUGACAGGGAAGGCAACUCCUGGGAUGGAAGCCAGCCGCUCCUCUUGGUUCAGUGCCACUGGCCAGGCUGGCACACAGGAACACGUGCUCACAUCUCCCUUUGCUGGAGCAGCUGUCAAGUACUUGGCCUUUGACAUGACCUUUGGGGAUCCUCGCUGACUUGCUUCAGGCAGGGGUUUUCCAUGAAUUCAUGUGAUGCUGAUUUCCACACAAGACUCCUUAUUUUUUUCCAUGUAAAACACAGACAUUAUACCCUAAACAUUUACAGUGUAAGAGAUGAAUUGUUCAUUUAGAUGGUUCCAAUUUCAUUGCUGAUUUUUCUGUAAGUUUACCUGUAUUUUUGAUGUUUCUAACUGGUAUGUCAAAACC
rnacentral:lncRNA from 1 species